AUUUUUUGGCAAAUUUAGUGAUUUUUCGAAAAUUUGUGUGAUAUUCCCAAAAAUAUUGGUUGUCCGGAAAAUCUUUUUGACCGCUGAAAUGGUACACUGACCGAAAUUUUUUUGGCGACGGGGGGGGGGAGGGGGGAGGUCGCCAAAAAAAUUUUCCGGGAAAAAAUUUUUGGUACUAGUCGGGCAGAAUGCCGAAAAGUCGGGCAAUUUUAUUUCCGCCCCCCUAAUUUUUUCCUUCCGG